rnacentral:rRNA from 1 species
AUUGAACGCUGGCAGCAGGCCUAACACAUGCAAGUCGAACGGUAACAGGAAGAAGCUUGCUUCUUUGCUGACGAGUGGCGGACGGGUGAGUAAUGUCUGGGAAACUGCCUGAUGGAGGGGGAUAACUACUGGAAACGGUAGCUAAUACCGCAUAACGUCGCAAGACCAAAGAGGGGGACCUUCGGGCCUCUUGCCAUCGGAUGUGCCCAGAUGGGAUUAGCUAGUAGGUGGGGUAACGGCUCACCUAGGCGACGAUCCCUAGCUGGUCUGAGAGGAUGACCAGCCACACUGGAACUGAGACACGGUCCAGACUCCUACGGGAGGCAGCAGUGGGGAAUAUUGCACAAUGGGCGCAAGCCUGAUGCAGCCAUGCCGCGUGUAUGAAGAAGGCCUUCGGGUUGUAAGUACUUUCAGCGGGGAGGAAGGGAGUAAAGUUAAUACCUUUGCUCAUUGACGUUACCCGCAGAAGAAGCACCGGCUAACUCCGUG